AAACGGUAGCUAAUACCGCAUAACGUCGCAAGACCAAAGAGGGGGACCCUUCGGGCCUCUUGCCAUCAGAUGUGCCCAGAUGGGAUUAGCUAGUAGGUGGGGUAACGGCUCACCUAGGCGACGAUCCCUAGCUGGUCUGAGAGGAUGACCAGCCACACUGGAACUGAGACACGGUCCAG
rnacentral:rRNA from 1 species